rnacentral:rRNA from 1 species
UAACGAAUAUUCCGCAAUGCGCGAAAGCGUGACGGAGCAAUGCCGCGUGUGGGAUGAAGCCCCUUGGGGUGUAAACCACUGUCAGGGUCUAGGAAUUUUGACCAAACCCAAAGGAAGGACCGGCUAACGCUGUGCCAGCAGCCGCGGGAAUACAGAGGGUCCAUGCGUUGAUCGGAAUCACUGGGCUUAAUGGGUGCGCAGGCGGAUGGGCAAGUGCGUUGUGAAAUCCCACGGCUUAACCGUGGAACUGCUUCGCACACUGCCCGACUUGAACCUGACAGGCGCUGCACGAACGUUAGGUGGAGCGGUGAAAUGCGUAGAUAUCUAACGGAAUGCCAAUGGAGAAGUCAGGCAGCUGGGUCGGUGUUGACGCUCAGGCACGAAAGCAUGGGUAGCGAACGGGAUUAGAUACCCCCGUAGUCC